rnacentral:rRNA from 1 species
GGUAUAGUUCUUCGGAACAGAGACCGGCGCACGGGUGCGUAACGCGUAUGCAAUCUACCUUUUACAGAGGGAUAGCCCAGAGAAAUUUGGAUUAAUACCUCAUAGCAUAGCAGUCUCGCAUGAGAUCACUAUUAAAGUCACAACGGUAAAAGAUGAGCAUGCGUCCCAUUAGCUAGUUGGUAAGGUAACGGCUUACCAAGGCUACGAUGGGUAGGGGUCCUGAGAGGGAGAUCCCCCACACUGGUACUGAGACACGGACCAGACUCCUACGGGAGGCAGCAGUGAGGAAUAUUGGACAAUGGGCGCAAGCCUGAUCCAGCCAUGCCGCGUGCAGGAUGACGGUCCUAUGGAUUGUAAACUGCUUUUAUACGAGAAGAAACACUCCAACGUGUUGGAGCUUGACGGUAUCGUAAGAAUAAGGAUCGGCUAACUCCGUGCCAGCAGCCGCGGUAAUACGGAGGAUCCAAGCGUUAUCCGGAAUCAUUGGGUUAAAAGGGUCCGUAGGCGGUUUAGUAAGUCAGUGGUGAAAGCCCAUCGCUCAACGGUGGAACGGCCAUUGAUACUGCUAAACUUGAAUUAUUAGGAAGUAACUAGAAUAUGUAGUGUAGCGGUGAAAUGCUUAGAGAUUACAUGGAAUACCAAUUGCGAAGGCAGGUUACUACUAAUGGAUUGACGCUGAUGGACGAAAGCGUGGGUAGCGAACAGGAUUAGAUACCCUGGUAGUCCACGCCGUAAACGAUGGAUACUAGCUGUUGGGAGCAAUCUCAGUGGCUAAGCGAAAGUGAUAAGUAUCCCACCUGGGGAGUACGUUCGCAAGAAUGAAACUCAAAGGAAUUGACGGGGGCCCGCACAAGCGGUGGAGCAUGUGGUUUAAUUCGAUGAUACGCGAGGAACCUUACCAAGGCUUAAAUGUAGAUUGACCGGUUUGGAAACAGAUCUUUCGCAAGACAAUUUACAAGGUGCUGCAUGGUUGUCGUCAGCUCGUGCCGUGAGGUGUCAGGUUAAGUCCUAUAACGAGCGCAACCCCUGUUGUUAGUUGCCAGCGAGUCAUGUCGGGAACUCUAACAAGACUGCCAGUGCAAACUGUGAGGAAGGUGGGGAUGACGUCAAAUCAUCACGGCCCUUACGCCUUGGGC